GGGUCUGUGACUAUGUUAAUUCUAUCUGAAAACCUUCAUGUAAGUAGAGAUUUGAAGAAUACACACUCUUACAAUGAAGACAGUGUGCAACAACCAAUGUGUAGUACAAGUCCAUUUCAAUUCCUUUAGUUUGUAAGUUUUUUAAUCUUUCCGUAUUCUUUAGUGUUUUAUAGUUUGUAGAAGAAACUAGAAACAGCUGUUAACAAAAAUUUGACUACAAGGUUUUUAGAAACAAGAAUAGGCAAAUGGUGUACAUGGUAAUAAGGUUUUUUUAAAGCAAUGUUUUUCAUUCGUGUGAAUGACGAACAAAAUAUUUUGUCAGCCUUACAAUAUAUACAAUCCUAGCUUAUUUUCCUA